ensembl:lncRNA
ACACAAACACACACACUGGACACACACACACACUGGACACACACACACACACACACACACACACACACACACACACACACACACACACACACACACACUGGACACACACACACACACACACACACACACACACACACACUGGACACACACACACACUGGACACACACACACACACUGGGACACACACACACACACACACACUGGACACACACACACACACACUGGACACACACACACACACACACUGGACACACACACACACACUGGACACACACACACUGGACACACACACACACACUGGACACACACACACACACACACACUGGACACACACACACACACACACACACACACACACACACACACACACACACACUGGACAAACAAACACACACUGGACACACACAUACACACACACUGGACAAACACACACACACUAGACAAACAAACACACACACAAACACAGUGGACACACACACACACACACACACACACACACACACACACACACUCUGGACACACACACACACACACACAUGUGCGUCUUCCUAUAGUUGUGAGGACCUCUUACAAUAACACUGUUAAAAUACCAAUGUGAUCAUUUGUUGUGUUUUAUGUUGAAAAACAAAUUGUAUAAUUAUAUAUGGACAUACGCUCCAUAGUUGUACAAGUAUACAAGGAUAUAUUGUACUUUUCAUAAUAAAACAUACUUGAAACAAGAAAAGGCUGUUAAUUGUGAAAACAGUUUGUUUAUUGAUUUUACGUUUCCUCUGUCAGGUUGAUGUUAACCUGCGACUGGUUGAAACAUGAAACAAAUAUGAAAUGAAAUACAAAACAAUUAAAUAUGUGGAAUAGAAUUAAACAAAUUGUACAAUUAGUACAACAGAGUGUUGUGAUGCAGGGGCACUAUAGCAACAGAGUGUUGUGAUGCAGGGUCACUAUAGCAACAGAGUGUUGUGAUGCAGGGUCACUAUAGCAACAGAGUGUUGUGAUGCAGGGUCACUAUAGCAACAGUGUUGUGAUGCAGGGUCACUAUAGCAACAGAGUUUUGUGAUGCAGGGCCACUAUAGCAACAGAGUGUUGUCAUGCAGGGGCACUAUAGCAACAGAGUGUUGUGAUGCAGGGUCACUAUAGCAACAGAGUGUUGUGAUGCAGG